UACGUAGGGUGCAAGCGUUGUCCGGAAUUAUUGGGCGUAAAGAGCUCGUAGGCGGUCUGUCGCGUCUGCUGUGAAAACUCGGGGCUUAACCCCGGGCCUGCAGUGGGUACGGGCAGACUAGAGUGCGGUAGGGGAGACUGGAAUUUACGGUGUAGCGGUGAAAUGCGUAGAUAUCAGGAGGAACACCGGUGGUGUAGACGGCUAUCUGGACCGUAACUGACGCUGAGGCACGAAAGCGUGGGUAGCAAACAGG
rnacentral:rRNA from 1 species